rnacentral:rRNA from 1 species
GACGAACGCUGGCGGCGUGCCUAACACAUGCAAGUCGAGCGAGCGGCGUACGGUUGAGUAAUGUCUGGAGCUCUGCCCUAUAGAGCGGGAUAACUACUGGAAACGGUUGCUAAUACCGCAUACUCUCGGAUGAACCCAUAUGGGAUUCGCUAGUAGGUGGGUGAAAGGCUCCCCUAGGCGACGAUCUCUAGCUGGUCUGAGAGGAUGAUCAGCCACACGGGGACUGAGACACGGCCCAGACUCCUAGGGGAGGCAGCAGUGGGGAAUAUUGCACAAUGGGCGCAAGCCUGAUGCAGCCAUGCCGCGUGGAUGAAGAAGGCCUUAGGGUUGUAAAGUACUUUCAGCGGGGAGGCGUUACCCGCAGAAGAAGCACCGGCUAACUACGUGCCAGCAGCCGCGGUAAUAC